UGGGGUGGUUAGUGUAGCUAUUAGAAAGCUAUUGGGAUGAUUCCUCACAAAACUAGAAGAAGAAAAACGAUUUUGGGAUUUUCACAUUUAAUCCAUAAAAGGGUCCUUUGGAGGAAGGAUUGUUGACAUAUAUUUGACAUUUAUAUCUUAAAGCAUAACUGAGAAAUAAACCAUUUAAGUUGGAACAUUUGUGACCUUUAACGACCCUGUUUAUAAAUCAGGUAUAUGGUUCUCAUAAUGGCUGAACAGAACAUGACGAGAGGAGGUGAGUGUGUUGUGCACCUCCAUACAAGUUAAUUUGCUGAGUUUCAUUGAAAUUGUUGUUAUAUUGGCUAAGAUGUGAUGGUAUAAAGAUUUACAAGUUAAUUUGUAAUUGUGACGACCCUCCCACUCUGUCUGCCGAAUUCUUUCUCUCUUUGCUCUUGUUUUCCUUAAUAGGAUGUCGGUGGGCGGAGCCGGGAGGGUCAUCAGUGAAAUGGGACACACCUGAGUUCGGGUGUGUCCCAGGAUAAAUGCACCUCUUCUCCAUUCAUUGAGGAGACUCUCUCCAUGUAGACACACAGAUUUUGGUUGUGGCAUUUUUCUUUUGUGGCUAUUUGGUUUGUUUGCUAUGGCACCUUUCAACACCCUCAUUAUCACAUGUAUACCCGCGACCACUCACUUACACUACUGACUAAACACACAACAUUGUUAAUUGUAUUUACUUUACUUCAGGUAAUAAAUAUAUUUUGUUAUUCUUUAUCUCCACGUUGUCUCCCUUUUUGUUACGGGCUUCGAGGCGGUUCGUGACAGCAUUGAAUAAUGCCUUUUUAAGAAGCCAGUGGCCACCAACUUAAUGUUUUGCUACACUGUACCUAAUGAACACAACCCUGAUUCUGAUCCAACAAGACUAUGAAGCAGAGGCUCCUAUCAAAGAUAUAACAGCUGCCAUAGAUGUCAAGGAUAUUAUGAAAGCAGCAGUUAAACUGGACAACCUUCUAUUCAACACCAUCUAUUCAACACCUUCUAUUCAACUCCUUCUAUUCAACACCAUCUAUUCAACUCCUUCUAUUCAACUCCUUCUAUUCAACACCUUCUAUUCAACACCUUCUAUUCAACUCCUUCUAUUCAACUCCUUCUAUUCAACACCUUCUAUUCAACUCAUUCACAAGCAGACAUGAACACUUCCCAUUUUCCCCAUUAUUUAAAUCAGUCUUCCAAUUGUGCAACUGGAUGUGAAGGGUUUAACUUCUAAACAGUGAUCCUUGGUGGGGUCACCUAGUGGAUUGGGCUGUCACUUGUCCUGACUCUUCCAGAAGGCUUGGCAAGGACGAGUCCCCUGCUCUCCCAGAGACACUUGUGUUCCAGCAGCUGAAGGGAGGGUGUGGGAUUCCCAGUUUUAUUGAGGUUAUGGACUUUACUUAUAUUGUCAUUGACUGUGUCUUCCUGCAAUCUCUGUUGUUUUUACAUUUGAAAGUCUAAAAAUAAAGCUGUCCAAAAGAA